rnacentral:rRNA from 1 species
GAUGAACGCUAGCGGAAGGCUUAAUACAUGCAAGUCGAGCGGUAGGUGGCUUCGGCCAUUGAGAGCGGCGCACGGGUGAGUAACGCGUACAUGACCUGCCUGUCAGAAGGGGAUAGCCCUGGGAAACUGGGAUUAAUACCCUAUGGUAUUGAUAUUAUGAAUGAUAUCAAUUAAAGUUGAGGCGCUGACAGAUGGAUGUGCGUCUGAUUAGCUAGUUGGUAGGGUAACGGCCUACCAAGGCGACGAUCAGUAGGGGCGUGAGAGCGUGGUCCCCCACACGGGUACUGAGACACGGACCCGACUCCUACGGGAGGCAGCAGUAAGGAAUAUUGGUCAAUGCCCGCAAGGGUGAACCAGCCAUUCCGCGUGGAGGAUGAAGGCCCUAAUGGGUUGUAAACUUCGUUUUAGAAUGGGAAGAAAUGCUAGAUGUAUCUGGUACUGACGGUACCAUCAGAAUAAGCACCGGCUAACUCCGUGCCAGCAGCCGCGGUAAU